UCCAGAGGUCUCAAGCGUUGUUCGGAUUCAUUGGGCGUAAAGGGUGCGUAGGCGGCGCGGUAAGUCGGGUGUGAAAUCUCGGAGCUUAACUCCGAAACUGCAUUCGAUACUGCCGUGCUUGAGGACUGGAGAGGAGACUGGAAUUUACGGUGUAGCGGUGAAAUGCGUAGAUAUUGGGAGGAACACCGGUGGCGAAGGCGGCCCCCUGGACCGGUACUGACGCUGAGGCGCGAAAGCGUGGGUAGCAAACGGG
rnacentral:rRNA from 1 species